UACGGAGGGUGCGAGCGUUGUCCGGAAUCAUUGGGCGUAAAGGGCGCGUAGGUGGCCCGGUCAGCGUGCGGUGAAAGCUCGGGGCUCAACCCCGAGUCGGCCGUGCGAACUGCUGGGCUUGAGCACUGUAGAGGCAGGCGGAAUUCCGGGUGUAGCGGUGGAAUGCGUAGAGAUCCGGAAGAACACCGGUGGCGAAGGCGGCCUGCUGGGACGUGGCUGACGCUGAGGCGCGACAGCGUGGGGAGCAAACAGG
rnacentral:rRNA from 1 species